rnacentral:rRNA from 1 species
GACGAACGCUGGCGGCGUGCUUAACACAUGCAAGUCGAACGGAAAGGCCCUGCUUUUGUGGGGUGCUCGAGUGGCGAACGGGUGAGUAACACGUGAGUAACCUGCCCUUGACUUUGGGAUAACUUCAGGAAACUGGGGCUAAUACCGGAUAGGAGCUCCUGCUGCAUGGUGGGGGUUGGAAAGUUUCGGCGGUUGGGGAUGGACUCGCGGCUUAUCAGCUUGUUGGUGGGGUAGUGGCUUACCAAGGCUUUGACGGGUAGCCGGCCUGAGAGGGUGACAGGCCACAUUGGGACUGAGAUACGGCCCAGACUCAUACGGGAGGCAGCAGUGGGGAAUAUUGCACAAUGGGCGGAGGCCUGAUGCAGCAACGCCGCGUGCGGGAUGACGGCCUUCGGGUUGUAAACCGCUUUCGCCUGUGACGAAGCGUGAGUGACGGUAAUGGGGAAAGAAGCACCGGCUAACUACGU